rnacentral:ncRNA from 2 species
UAUUUGCAGCGUAAUUUUGGUUGCCAUUUUACAUGGCAUUAAAAGGGAAUUGGGUGAAAAUCCUAAACUGUUCCUGCAGCUGUAAUCUUCAUAAAAAAAGGAUGCUAUAACAAGCCACUGCCAUUUAUGGCGGGAAGGCAUAGCAAUCCGGAGAGAGUCAGAAGACCUGCCAUUUUACAAUUUCAGUG